GACGUGAGGGCGCGAGCGUUGUCCGGAUUAUUGGGCGUAAAGAGCUCGUAGGCGGCUUGUCGCGUACGACUGGUGAAAUCCCGCGGCUCAACCGCGGGUCUGCAGUCGAUACGGGUCAGGCGUAGAGUUCGGUAGGGGAGACUGGAAUUCCUGGUGUAAGCGGUGAAAUGCGCAGAUAUCAGGAGGAACACCAGCUAGCGAAGGCGGCACUCUGGGCCGGUAACUGACGGUGG
rnacentral:rRNA from 1 species